CGGAGGGAUCAUUACACAACAAAAUAUGAAGGCCUGGCUUUCGCGGCCGGCUGAAGUAUUUUUUUCACCCAUGUCUUUUGCGCACUUGUUGUUUCCUGGGCGGGUUCGCCCGCCACCAGGACCAAACCAUAAACCUUUUUUUCUUAUGCAGUUUCCAUCAGCGUCAGUAAAAACAAUGUAAUUAUUACAACUUUCAACAACGGAUCUCUUGGUUCUGGCAUCGAUGAAGAACGCAGCGAAAUGCGAUACGUAGUGUGAAUUGCAGAAUUCAGUGAAUCAUCGAAUCUUUGAACGCACAUUGCGCCCUUUGGUAUUCCAAAGGGCAUGCCUGUUCGAGCGUCAUUUGUACCUUCAAGCUUUGCUUGGUGUUGGGCGUUUUUUUGUCUCCCUCUUUCUGGGAGACUCGCCUUAAAACGAUUGGCAGCCGGCCUACUGGUUUCGGAGCGCAGCACAUUUUUUGCGCUUUGUAUCAGGAGAAAAGGACGGUACUCCAUCAANGACUCUACAUUUUUCACUUUUGACCUCGGAUCAGGUAGGGAUACCCGCUGAACUUAA
rnacentral:rRNA from 1 species